GGGGGCGACCUGGUUUCGACGGGGAGUGUGAGCUGCCACCUGCCAUUCGAGGUUGAUCGAAAGGCCUCGUAAAAAAUCGGUCAAAAAACAAAAGCUAACGAAGACUUAGCACUCGCAGCCUAAGCGCGCUGUGACGGUCCCCCGGAUGAUUCUGCCAGUAAGCACCGGGAAGGCCGACAUUAAAACUGGCUGGACUUAAUACUGGGCCACUGGGGUAGUAAGUCGAGAAAAUCCAGACGGAUCGGAUGAGUAGAGACCUGCCUGUGGGUUGCGAAAAUCUUAAAAAAAUGAUUGCAGGAUAUAAUGGUAGACGGUGUCUGUGAACCUUUUCGGACGCGGGUUCGAUUCCCGCCGCCUCCACUG
rnacentral:tmRNA from 1 species